UAAUCUAGUAAACCUACAUAAACUAUUCAAAAAAUAAAACUCAAUUUGGAAGAACAAAGCACAAAUUCCAGUGUCUGAAUGUAAUUUGUUGGCCAAUACCUUGAAUCAAAAAUUGUAACAUUCAUUGCAAUGGAAAAUACCUAAAACCACUCAGCGUCAAAGUUGGUAGAACUAUCGAAUCCAACUAUUGGUAACAAUUACAUCAUUUCAUAGACAGAACGAAAUUGAACAAGCUCUUUUUGGACGGGGGAAUGAUGGCUCCUGGGGACGCUGCUCUUGUGCCCAAAACUCGCUGGAACAAUUAGCUCAAAAGGUUGGGGGUUUUUGGGGCUCGGAAUGAUUCAAAGAGCGCGUCGUCGACAACUGAAGCCCUAUGAAAAAGUUUCAGUUUUUGCGCAAACAAAUUGGAUUAUUCGAUUACGUGUUUGUACAAGCGCAUUGUGCGACCAAGGGGAAGGCGGGCCGACCGGGGUGGAGUGCUGGAAAAUCAGUAAUGCUGUAAAUUGCAUUUCCCUUCAGGGGUUAGACAAUAUCCCCGGGGUUUCAGAAAAAUAGACGGAUGGCGUUUGAUGGAGAGGUGGAGCAGGAAAAUCUGUCAAUUUUAUGGGGAAAGCGCAGCGUUAAAUGCAUAAGCGGAAGUCAAAGUAUUUUUUGUUUUGAUAGAUGAGACUUGGAGGAAGUUAAGGAUGGCAUUUCUGACGGAAGUCCAGGAUUAAGUAAUCUCCAAGGUGGGAAAAUUUCAUCUAUCAAACGCCGGGAAAAAAUGGGUCAUUGGAAAAAGAAUCCCCUAAAGUCGAUUCAGAGGUUUUUUGCGCAAAAAAAUAUGAAUAAGAACAAUUGACCGACCUAAUCUCAGCUGCCUCUGAAUUUCAUUAGAGAACAUAUUGAACCUUGGAAGGAAGGACUGCUCCUUUUCCCCCACUGAGUCAAGAUGAGCAAGGAGCAAGUGGCAAAAAGUGAGGAGAUGCACGUGCCAAAAGUCUCAAGUUUAGCUGUUGCUGUGGCUACUCGCAAAAAAUUUGCUCCGGGCGCUUUUAGCAAAAGUGUAACGAAGGACGGGGGACUGCGACUGGCAGGAAGGGCAUGAAGGACGAGGUGGCAGCCGGAAAAUUGAGGAAAAACUGAGACUGGGUUGGGAUGAGCACACAGAGAUGACGACAGCUUGGGCUUGUCAUGGCAGAACGCGACGUGAGCGGUGGCUUGGCCUUUGGCAAUUUUCUUAUUGCAUGCAUGUGGCAGCUAAAAAAAUACUGGCCAGGAACAAAACGUAGAGGGCAAAAAGGAUUGGGCCGGUAACGACAAAUAGUGUUGCAUAUUUAUGUGCGCAUCCACACAAAACAGGACUUUUGUAAUUAAAACGAGAGUGAAAAUGGUUUACUAUG
rnacentral:sRNA from 1 species